AUUGUUGAAAGGGAAGCGCUUGUGACCAGACUUGGGCGCGGCGGAUCAUCCGGGGUUCUCCCCGGUGCACUUCGCCGUGUUCAGGCCAGCAUCAGUUCGGCGCGGGGGAAAAAGGCUUCGGGAACGUGGCUCCUCCGGGAGUGUUAUAGCCCGUUGCAUAAUACCCUGCGCUGGACUGAGGACCGCGCAUCUGCAAGGAUGCUGGCGUAAUGGUCACCAGCGAC
rnacentral:rRNA from 1 species